CCUUGCCCCGCCCCCUCCCUCGUCCCGAAGCCCCGGCCGCCAGCCCCGAGGGCGGCUUUACGGGUCACGGCGUCGGUCACGGUGACGCCCGGGCCCCCGCGGACAGGGAUAAUCCUGUGCAGCCGGGCAGCCCGCACUCCGGGAGGCUGAGGCAGGAGGAUCGCUAUCGAGGCCAGCCCAGGCAGCUUAGCGACCUAGCGAGACGCUGCCCAAGAUAAGAAAUGAAAACGGGUGUCAUCUCUGCGCCUGGCCGUGGACCCCUCUGCGACCACUGCCCGCCCAGCUGCAUGGACGCCAGGCCACCCGGCCUGGGCCUCACCCCGCAGCCUGUCCUUCCCGCAUCGGCCACCAGGAGGCGCGGUCCAGAGGGCAGAGGAGCAGCAUGGUCUAGAGGGUAGAUUCUCCCGGAACCCAGAACAGCGCGGACACACAGUGACAUUUCCAGGCCAGGCCCUUAAAUCUCUGCGGGAUUCCAGGCCAUUCAUGAACCCCAGUUCUGCGGAAUUCUGGGAGAUUUACCUAGAAGAAGAGAACCUGCAGACAGAGCCUGGCGGGCAGGCCGUGCAGAGGGCGCAUGCGCAGCAGGCCCACUGGGCCUCCGGGCCGGGAAAGGCGGGCGUGGGACGGGACAGCUGCUCCGGAGGCCGAGGCAGGAGGGUCUCCGGAUGGAACCCGGCCUCUGCAAUUUGCCCGGACUCUGCCUCAAAAUUAAAAAUAAGAUGCCAGGCGUGGUGGCGCAUGUUCGUACUCCCAGCACUCGGGAGGCUGAGGCAGGAGGGUCACCGUGGGUUCCAGACCAGCCCGGGCCACGAAGUGAGCUCAGAGUAAGACCAUGUGUAAAAAAACAAAAACCAACAGCAGAGCCCCGCCCCCGCCCCCUGGACUGGGGUGUGAGCCGGGCCCUCGGGGGCGCCGUCUGCAGGGCGCUCACCCCCUUUUCGCACCGCGCGCCUCACGUGAGCUGGUGGAGAAAAAACCUCCUUAAAGGAGGGUCAGAUCAUCAUGCUGCGUAGAAGUCUGCAUAUGUUGCUCAGGAGUUAAUCAUCACCCGCCCUCCAUGCUCCUUCCGUGUCAAUUUGUCCUCAGCACGAGACGCCAUGAUGGCUUCAGCAAAUGCAAACCUUUGUCCUAACAUCUGUGAUUCACUGAACAAAAGAUUCCAAGAAGGGCCAACUGAGCAGAUUUAGAGGGCAGAUGCUAAGACAUGCAGAGAAAGAACCAGGAAGGGAACAGGCGAAACAUGGUGGUGCUUCUACUUGCUGGCCCAGUGCCUGGGUGGUGCGUGGUGGUGUACACCUGCCCCAGCACCGGGGAGGCUGAGGCAGGAGGGUCGCUGUGCGUUCCAGGCCAGCCCGGGCUGCAUAGUGAGACCCCGUCUCAAAAGAACCAAAACAAGAGAGGAGGAAGGAAAGCUUAUGAUUUUGAGGCGCCGUGGCCAUGCCUGGAGACCGGGGUCCUUGGGAGGCUGAGGCAGGGGAGUCUCUCGAGCCUAAGAGUUGCAGCCCAGCCCGGGCAACACGGCAAGAUGGUAUCUUAAAAGCAAAUAACAAAAGAGAAGGAAAAUAAAGUGACAGAGCAGCCCAGGUACAAAGGACAACGUUGAAACUGACAGGACGUGAAUGCUGCUUCCCCGAGCGCCGGCUUCCGUGGUUUUGGUUGCUCGUGGUCAGCCAAGGUCCAAAAAUAGGAAGAGGAGAAUUCCAGAAAUAAAUAAUUCACGAGCUUGAAAUGGAGCCCUGUCAGUGAGGAAUGGAAGACUCUGGAGCCAAGAGUCUCAAGGGCACAGACCUGCACCUCGUCUGGAGUUUCCACCAUGUAUGCACUACCCUCCUGAGAUUCACCCGGGAUACAGUGCGGCCCCAUCAGCUCCUGGGGUGUCACCACCUACUUCUGCUUGGGGGUCUUUUAGUAUGCUGAUAACCCAAGUGCACUAAGGAGCGCUCAUCAAUCACUUCCUUUAAGUGAACAUCUCAGCUGGGUGUGGUGGGGCGCAGCUGUGAUCCCAGCACACAGAGGCUGAGGCAGGAGGAUCGCUGUGAGCUCAAGGCAGCCUGAAUGUGUCGGGAUAAACCUCAGCGGCACAGUGUCUACCUGGCAAGUACGAGGCUGUGAGUUCCAUCCCCGGUGCCAAAAAAAUCAUAUGUUGGGUGAAAAUUCAAUAUUUUGAUAGAGAUAGUGAGAAAUCACAUUCAUGUGAGGGUUCAGAUGGCCGCAGCCCCUGGGCACUGCCUUCCGCUCAGUGGGGCAGGAAAAAUCACUCAGGUCCAGGAAACAGGAACUCAAACCAGAACAAGGUCUCACAUCUCCGUGAUGAGAUCAGAAAGUGUCAGGAGGGAAGGGGUGAAGUCAGGCAUGGAUGAAGGGAUUCGAGCUCCUCUUGUUGAGCUUGUAUACAGCCAGUGAAAGCCCCAGGGCAGGGUAGUGGCAUUAAAUAUCACAAUUCCUGCCUUCCAUCCAAAGCCUAGAGAUGGCAUUGCACAAGGCUAUGAGUUCAUGAGCAGGCACUGCGGAGUUGUCCACUGUGACUUGUGACUUGUGCCCAGCUGGUGGGGACAUGGCAGGUAACUGCAACAUGCCCCCUUGGGAAACCUACACAGCUGUGAAAAAGGGAAGAGACCCGGCUGUGUGUCCUGGCACCUGGUGAGACCUCCAGGUGGAGGAUACCUGUGUCUCCUGGUGUUAGCAGCUCACUUAGUGAGAGCUUGUUCCCUGUCACAUGCUGUGUGUGCCACGCUACCUGGAUUACCUCAGCUGAGUCUCUCACCUUACCUCGGGAGACAGAGGCACAGAGAACCUAAGUAACCAGGCAAACACCACACAGUCAGUGUGUGGCAGAGCUGGAGAUGAAAUGCUAGUUCCUUGGUGCCCCUAUCUGCACUCAUAUUGUCUUGAACUCUAUUUGUGCAUUUAUUCACUCAACAAACACCAAUGGCUGUUAUAUGCCUGGGUGUGUUCCAGAAUUGGAGACCCAGCAGAGAACCAAAGAGCCAAUAUCCCCUGCCCUUCCAUGCUGAUGGAUGCUGGAGAGACAGCAAAUCCACAAGCAAACAAAAAUCAUCAUUUCAGAUGGGGAGACGCAAUAGGCAGAAUUGAAACAGGGGGAUGUAGGAAAACGGCAUUCCGUGCAAAGGCCCAGGGGCAGGACAGAGCAGGUGUGUUGCCGCGGCAUGAAGGAGGCCUCUUGGCUGGAGCAGAGAGAGAAGUGGGCAGGGAGGAGGAGAGGCGGAGAGGGCACAGCAGGCCGUGCAGGGCGCUGCGGGCUGCAGAACGCGGGCUUUGGCCCGGGAAGGGGGCGCUGUGGAGGGCGGAGGAGGGAGGAGCGGACUCGCGGCUCACAGCGCCCUCUGGUGGCCGCCGCGGGGAGGACAGGCCGGACUCUCUCUGAACCUCUGCCCGGGUUCAGAGCUGUGUCCCCCCAUUGCUGCCUCAGGGGUGAAGAUGAGCAGUUUGUUUGCUGAUGUCAUUUGCGUUGAUGUUUUUAAACGAGGACUCGGCGGGCCGGCUGCUCUGUGAGAGCCCGAGUCCCGGUGAGCGCCUGGGCCUGGGGCGGAACGGCAGGGGGGCUCUUGGGGUGUUUAUUCCCACUUAUUACUUAGUCUUUAUUCCUCUCACGGUGCCGAUCGCGGCCCCAGGGCCUUGGCGCUGAGCUCCGCCAUCAGCCUCUCGCUCAUCUGGAUCCCGAGGCAGGGUGACCCUCCUGCCUCAGCCUCCGGCAGUGCAGAGGGCAAGGCGGGCACGCGGGAAGCCCCGGGAGGCCACACUGGGGCGCAUUCUAACUCCUGGGAACUCACGGGCCGGGGACAGAGAGAGACUUCAUCCAGCAAAUGCUGCCUCUGCUCCUGGGUGUGGGCAGCAGCUCGGGGUUUGGGGGUCACAGACAUGGGAGCCACCCCUGAGUGCUGAAAGGGAUCAGACAGACAGACAGACAGACAGACAGAGACAGAAUCGGAGAUCCUCAGCAAGAAGCCCACUCAUGCCACGCUCAGCCAGUGAGAUGGGGAAGCCACUUGUUAUGCAGCAUUAUCACAGCCGGCGCUGACUGCUACACAUCCCUGUAAAGGGACCACAGGUGCCUGGAGGUCAGGCUCCUCCUGAGACACAGAAACAGAUGCCGGGGCCACACCCGCUUCUCUCUGUACGUCCCAGGAGCCUCUGAUGAGGGCGAGAAUCCAGCUCCCCGGUGCCACUUCCUGGGUGCUGAGGGAUGUGUAGGAGUCUGUGAGACAGAAGAGCGUUUUAAGCAGAGGCAGCAGCUUACAGUGAAGACACUCGGGGGGCUUCCGAGGAUUCCGCGGUGAAAUUGCCCGUGAAAGUAGCCGAGCGCAGCUGCCGGCGGGAGAUGAUAGAUCUCGGGGAGGAGCAGGGGAUCGGGGCGCCGGCAGCCGCGCGAACCUUUUAAGAGCAGACGCGGGAGACGCGAGCAGUUUUAAAGUGACAGGCGAUACAAGGGGCAGAUAAUAUAUUUAAAGCCCGUAUCAGCUGUUAACAGACCAUAAAAACGCGGCUCCAUUAAUCUGGGCUGUCCGUCAGCGCCCGCGGAGCUGCGGCUUUCUAGCCCGAGCUCUUGACACCUUCGCAAGUACGUCUCAAUUUAUUUGGACAAUAGAAAUACUGUCUUUCCCCCACUUCUCCUUUUUCUUCUCCCUCCCACCCCGAGCAGCUGAGAUCUGACGACGGAGUCCCAGCCCGUGUGCCCUAAAAUCUCUUCCCUCCCGGGAGAAGAGUUUGUGCUGCCACACGGCCUCCUCUCUGCUCCUUCCUGCACGCUGCCUGCCGGGAUCCGUGCCGCCCCAGGACCUUUGCACGGCCGUGCCCACUGCCUCUGCCCAUUGUUCCCAUGGCCGCCUCUGAUUCCAAGGUCCUCCUUCCCAGGGGUGCACCUUCUGUGCACCCCACCCUGCCCAGUUCUGACCACCAUUUGCAAAUAGUUCAUUGACCUAUUGCUUUUUUAUUUGGUUUUGUUUUUUGAGAUAGCGUCUCCCUGUGUAGCCCAGGCUGGCCUGGAACUCAGUGCAACCCUCCUGCCUCAGCCUCCUGGUGCUGGGAUGACAGGUGUGCACCACCACACCCAGAUGACUGCUGGCUAAUUUACUGCCUGUCACACUGGACUGAGGCCAGGAGAUCAGGAGUUUUGGGGGAUCUAUUUUGUUCAGGGCUAUGGAGGGCUAGAUCAGGGUCUGGUACACGCUAGGUGCUCGGUACGUGCUUGGGGAGGAAGGUGAACUGGGUACAGCGCUCCACCCCUGUCACCCCAGCACAGGAGGCUGAGGCAGGAGGGAGCUGGGCAGCCCGGGACAGAGCAGCGGGAGGCGUGAGCUUUUGGGGUGCAGCUUUGUGAACCCCACCUCCGCCCUCACUGGGGCUUCGGCUCUGGCCACGGCUGAUCUGGGCGCAGCUGCUGGCACCCACAUUCACCCCCCAGGAGUGUUGGGGCAGCCGCCAGGCCCCGCCCUGCACCCCAAGUCCCCGGCAUCCCCCGAGCUGCAGCUCCAGCUGCAGGGACUCGGGCACAGAUGCUGCCGGGUGCAACAGCUGGGCAGCAGCUGGCGAGGGCUGGGAAGCCGCGCAGGCCGCCUUCUCCGGGGCCGGGCCGUCCUGGGGUCCCUGAGCACACGGGCUCCCCGGUUUCCUGCCCCGCCCGGCACAGCCUGGGCUUCGGGGAGGCCGAGACAGGAGGGUCUCAGGCCCCAAACCAGCCAGGGCGACACAGCACGGCCCCAGCUAGAUGGAAAAAGCCACAGGGCCGGGCUGGAGCCAGUGCAAAGGCCCUGGUGCAUCUAGGCCCCGGGAGAAGAAAGGCUGCAUGGCCAGUGCCGGGGUGACUGGCUCCCGGUGGCGCCCCGUCCCCUCUGGCCUCCUCCUGUCCGUCCCAGGCCUCCCUGGGCCUCAGCUUCCCCCUCCGUGAGAUGGGAUCAGGGUGCCACUUGCCCUGGCCCACGGCACUCUGCCUGCAGGGACUUACACCGGGCUUGGAGUCACCCACAAGCGUCAGCAGCCCUCAGCGCUGGGCCAGUUUGCAAAGUGAGUAAUUUGUUUUUCCUCUGUCCUGUUGCACCGGGCUGCACACCGAGCUCCCAUCCCGCCUCCUUUUUUAUUUUGAGACAGGACUUGCUAAGUCACCUAUCAGCCCAGGUUGCAGCUUAACUUUGAGAUCCUCCUGCCUCAGCCUCCCAGAGUGCUGGGGUUGUAGGCAUGCGUGCUCGCUGCUGUUAUUUCGGUUUUUCCAGGCUCCAGGGCUCAGUCCUAGCCUUGCUGUUCUCUGUUUCUGGGGACAGGGUUCCAGCCCUCACAGGAACCCAGCACCUGCACAGUGAUGGCGGUCAGAGGAGCUUCUAGAAGUUUCCAGAAGGUUCCAGAAGGUUCUAGAAGAAGGGAUGGUGCUUCUCGGAGACCCAUAUUAAAGCCAGUGCAUGUGGGUUAGAGUAUCUGUUUCUGUGGAGGAUUUGGGGUGGGGGUUGGGGGAGUGACUGAAGUCCCCCGUGACCAGCUCCAGGAUUCUCAGGCUUCCCCAGGGGCAAACGAGUUAAGAAUCCGGCUUGCCUCCCAGAUAUCCUCUUCACGGUGGCCGCGAGGCCCCGAAGAGCCCAGCUCUGGCCCCUACAGCUGACCCUGGGAGUGACCUUUGCCUGCUGCCGGCUCAGCCAAUGAGGAAGUGCCCUGCGGGUGCCUGGAAACCAUUUCCAUGACGCCAGGAGCUGCUGGUCCCCGGAAGGCCUGGGCCCGGGGUGAGGGAGAGAGGGAUGCUGGCUCGGUCACCAUGGCAACCCAGCAGCUGCAGGAGGCGGCCCAGCUGGCGAGGAGCUGGUGUCCCCGCCCCCUUGGCACUGCCGCCACCGUGCCGGGUCCGUCCUGGUGCAGAUGGAGAUGGGGCCCUGGCAUCUGCUGGGGGCACCGACCGUGGGGGUCCGG